UUUGCCUUUUAUCCUUUCGGGGUGGUUAAAUUAAGUACCAUUUGUGUAGUGGUGUCGAUCUAAUCGACUAGCCUCCUCUCCAAAAUUUUCGGGCCAUGUGCUUAGAGUACAAAAGAUUAUUGUUGUGGGUGGUGGUAAUAUGUAGUA